rnacentral:rRNA from 1 species
UACGUAGGGGGCAAGCGUUGUCCGGAAUCAUUGGGCGUAAAGAGCGCGUAGGCGGCCCAGUAAGUCCGCUGUGAAAGUCCAGGGCUCAACCCUGGAAAGCGGGUGGAUACUGCCGGGCUAGAAUCCGGAAGAGGCGAGUGGAAUUCCCGGUGUAGCGGUGAAAUGCGCAGAUAUCGGGAGGAACACCAAUUGCGAAGGCAGCUCGCUGGGACGUCACUGACGCUGAGACGCGAAAGCGUGGGGAGCAAACAGG